CAGCCCUGCCGACGUGGCGCAAAAGCAGCCACGGGCAACACGUGAAUGAGUGCGUGUGACUCGUUCCAGGGAGACUCGAUCUGGCCCCCAGACCAUUGUUUGCUGCCCCGCUUCUAUAGUAAAGGACGUGGUUGUCCGAUUCUGAAACAAUAAACUACGAUGGACUAUUUAGCAGCUGAUUGAAGAGCCCACAGAAACUUGGGGAAAUAUAAAUGAUGGAACGUUAAUGUAAGAAGGCAGAAAACCACAUGUUUAGUCGCAAUCGUAAAAGAAUCAUCAUAAAAGGUGGAAGCAGGCCGAAAGGAGACGCGCCAGUGAAAAGGGGGUGAAGACAGCAGGGUGAGGGGGUAGCUGACGCCGUCCUGAGCCGUCAGGAUAGAAGGAUGCCAAGGUGCGUCCCACGGCCAGCUGACGUUCACUCUAGCACGUUCGUCGACUAGAUAACAUCGUUUGUUCACUCAGCUGUUUGUGAAUUUAUGUAAAGCUGUUUACUCGCAAGCGGUGAAGCGUCUGCUGGGCAGGGUUCUUGACCCGGGAACCUGCGAGCAGGUGCGCUGAGGGCAGUUGGGCAGGAGUCAGCCCGGGGAGUCCUGGUGACGAGCCUGAUCUUCCCCCUGCAGCAGUGGCAGCCGUAGGCAGGUCUGAGAACAACCUUCCCUCUGUGCAGGGGCCACAGACUUGGAGGGAGGUGAUGGUGGUUCAUCCACCUGGGGCCCCCUGGGACAAACCCAGAUUAAGGAGGGAGAGAGCUGGGCAUGGUCUCCGACAGCAAAGGCUGGAGGCUCCACUGAGCACGAGAGACCCAGACCCGCGGCCUCGCCUCCACACCGCCCGCUGCCCCUUCCACGGGGUCUGCAUCUUGUGGACGUGGGGCUGCUGCCAGAUGGGCCUGUCUGACCGGCAAUAAAGCGCACUGGGGGCUGGACUGGUCUCGCCGGGGACCUGGGACAGAUUCAGAUUUACAUCCGCGAGCCCGCACGAGGGGCUGCAGUGUAAAACUCCAGGUGUCCACCCUGUAGAUAUUUCACGUGCAGUUUGGGAGUUUGGGAACCCUCGGAAGUGUUAGCAUUUGUGCAUAAAAUUGCCUGAAAUGCAGUCCAAAUGUCCAUAAAAAGUAACCAAAUAGCUGUUUAUUGUUACUAGUCCAUGUUCUUCGAGCUUCCACGUUGGGCGUGGAUCUAAUUGGGUGCCGGCCGCGUUGGGGGUGACAUCAGGGGUGCUUCCUGGGCACCUUGGGAUCUGGUUUAUCAUGAAGCCGGAAGUCGGCAGUCUCCCCCUCGGCCCUGACAUCUGACCAGGACAUGUGGGGAAAGCCCCGGUGGGCCUUCCUGAGACUUUCUCCUCGAGGUAUAUUCCUGAAAACCUUGAUGAGGGUCCAAGCCUGUCCAUAAAUUUGCCAAAAUACAGAAAAAAGGAGCUUUAGGAGAUGAUACAGUUAUCACCAGGGAGCCCUCCCCGGAACCCCCGAGAGCCCUUCGUUUCUGUUCCUGUUUUGGUAAAACACACCCAACACAGAGGCCACCAUUUCACCCAUGUUCAAGUGUGCAGUCCGGCGGCAUUUAGCACGUCCACAGCGUUGUGCAGUCAUUACCUCUAGUUCCAGGACAUUUCCGUCACCCCCAAAGGAAACCAGCGCCCACUAGCAGCCACUCCCCAGCCCCUCCCCCAGCCCCCAGCAACCACCAGUCUGCUUCCUGCCGGUGGGCUUGCCUGUGCUGAAUGGUUCACACAAUGGAAUCACACACUCGGCAGCCUUUGUGCCCAACAAGCACGUAAAGGGAUGCCCACCGGGGAAUGCAAAUCACACCACCAUGAGAUACCACCUCACGCUCACUGGGAUUGCUAGAAUCAAAAAGAAAAGAAAAGAAAAGAACAAGUGCUGGUGAGGAGUCCGAGAAACGGGAACACCGUGCUCUAUAGGCGGGGAUGUGAGACGGUGCAGCCCCCGCGUACAACGGUUGGCCCAGUGGGAAGACUGACCUUAUUUCGAUUCUCCUACUGAGAGUGACGACUCAGCCUCAAGCGUCAGGGCUGCCGUGAUCGCAUGAGACACGGAGUUCAGCCUCUGCAGUGACCCCUGGAAGAGGAAGCAACUGGACGUUUCCUCUGCACAUUGUCUUGUGCAAAGAUACAAGGGAGAAGUUUCCUUGGUGCUGCUACGCUGCCAUCAUUUGCUGCCCGCAUUCAUGUCGGAAGCAACAUCUAUGAUUCAGCGAGAGGGAGGCUCCACCUCCUGCUACACUGCACUCUACCCCCUGGACAGUGACGCCCCGAGGGAAGGGUCCAUUUCUCUCCAUCUCUGCGCCUACACAGCCCUGCACGCACGUGGGCCCGGAUGAUUCCUGGAGGAAGCUACCUCUUUGAGAUCUUCUCAACGCAAGUCUUCCCUGGGGCUGAUCCCGUCAAGCUGGAUGUGACCGAAGUCUUGUUCUAUCAGAUGUUGAAGGUUUAACGUCAGUGAAGGCUGUGGUAGAAAACAUCUCACAGGAAACAGCUGGGUUCUCCUAUCUGCUUCUUCAUUCAAUCUGGUGCAUAUGAAAAAAGCCUGGCCACACACAGAUAUGGAUUUGGAAAUUAAGAGAUGUCAGCAUUCCUGUGGUCUGCCGAUCACCUCCUGUAUCCAUCAUGGUCCCACCAGGAAAGCAGCCUCCGCCAGAGCUGGGGUCCACCAGUGGGAGUGCCAGCCGGAGACUGGAGAGGGGGAAGCGGGACCCUCUCCUCCCUGAAUGAUACGCUUGUCUUCUGGGGAACGUCCACGAUGCGCAGGACGCAGACGGAGGACUGAAUUCAGAUGGCAUGAAAAUUCACCUGGUUUUGCCACGUUCCCGUUCACCUGCCUCCUUGCACACCUGAGUUCGGGAGCCUCAUCCUUCCACUAGAGGGCGUGGCGUCAUGGAUGCCAACUGUGCCACCUGGGCUGUCCCAGUGUUCUGGCCCCAGCCC